rnacentral:rRNA from 1 species
UACGAGUGGUGCGAGCGUUAUUCGGAAUUAUUGGGCGUACAGGGUGCGCAGGCGGUAUAUUAAGUCAAUUGUUAAAGACCUCGGCCUAACCGAGGAACAGCGGUAGAUACUGAUAUGCUAGAGGGUGGAAGAGAGAAGUGGAAUUCUUGGAGUAGCGGUAAAGUGCGUAGAUCUCGAGAGGAACACCGAUGGCGAAGGCAGCUUCUUGGUCCACAUCUGACGCUGAGUGCACGAAAGCGUGGGGAGCAAACAGG